rnacentral:rRNA from 1 species
AUCGGGGCAGGGUGAGUCGACCCCUAAGGCGAGGCCGAAAGGCGUAGUCGAUGGGAAACGGGUUAAUAUUCCCGUACUUGGUGUUACUGCGAAGGGGGGACGGAGAAGGCUAUGUUGGCCGGGCGACGGUUGUCCCGGUUUAAGCGUGUAGGCUGGUUUUCCAGGCAAAUCCGGAAAAUCAAGGCUGAGGCGUGACGACGAGGCACUACGGUGCUGAAGCAACAAAUGCCCUGCUUCCAGGAAAAGCCUCUAAGCAUCAGGUAACACGAAAUCGUACCCCAAACCGACACAGGUGGUCAGGUAGAGAAUACCAAGGCGCUUGAGAGAACUCGGGUGAAGGAACUAGGCAAAAUGGUGCCGUAACUUCGGGAGAAGGCACGCUGACAUGUAGGUGAAGUGAUUUACUCAUGGAGCUGAAGUCAGUCGAAGAUACCAGCUGGCUGCAACUGUUUAUUAAAAACACAGCACUGUGCAAACACGAAAGUGGACGUAUACGGUGUGACGCCUGCCCGGUGCCGGAAGGUUAAUUGAUGGGGUCAGCGCAAGCGAAGCUCCUGAUCGAAGCCCCGGUAAACGGCGGCCGUAACUAUAACGGUCCUAAGGUAGCGAAAUUCCUUGUCGGGUAAGUUCCGACCUGCACGAAUGGCGUAAUGAUGGCCAGGCUGUCUCCACCCGAGACUCAGUGAAAUUGAACUCGCUGUGAAGAUGCAGUGUACCCGCGGCAAGACGGAAAGACCCCGUGAACCUUUACUAUAGCUUGACACUGAACAUUGAGCCUUGAUGUGUAGGAUAGGUGGGAGGCUUUGAAGUGUGGACGCCAGUCUGCAUGGAGCCGACCUUGAAAUACCACCCUUUAAUGUUUGAUGUUCUAACGUGGACCCGUGAUCCGGGUUGCGGACAGUGUCUGGUGGGUAGUUUGACUGGGGCGGUCUCCUCCUAAAGAGUAACGGAGGAGCACGAAGGUUGGCUAAUCCUGGUCGGACAUCAGGAGGUUAGUGCAAUGGCAUAAGCCAGCUUGACUGCGAGCGUGACGGCGCGAGCAGGUGCGAAAGCAGGUCAUAGUGAUCCGGUGGUUCUGAAUGGAAGGGCCAUCGCUCAACGGAUAAAAGGUACUCCGGGGAUAACAGGCUGAUACCGCCCAAGAGUUCAUAUCGACGGCGGUGUUUGGCACCUCGAUGUCGGCUCAUCACAUCCUGGGGCUGAAGUAGGUCCCAAGGGUAUGGCUGUUCGCCAUUUAAAGUGGUACGCGAGCUGGGUUUAGAACGUCGUGAGACAGUUCGGUCCCUAUCUGCCGUGGGCGCUGGAGAACUGAGGGGGGCUGCUCCUAGUACGAGAGGACCGGAGUGGACGCAUCACUGGUGUUCGGGUUGUCAUGCCAAUGGCACUGCCCGGUAGCUAAAUGCGGAAGAGAUAAGUGCUGAAAGCAUCUAAGCACGAAACUUGCCCCGA